GUAUACCUACGGGGGGCAGCAGUGGGGAAUAUUGGGCAAUGGGCGCAAGCCUGACCCAGCAAUGCCGCGUGAAGGAAGAAGGCCCUCGGGUUGUAAACUUCUUUUAUCAGGGACGAAGGAUGUGACGGUACCUGAUGAAUAAGCUCCGGCUAACUCCGUGCCAGCAGCCGCGGUAAUACGGGGGAUGCGAGCGUUAUCCGGAUUUAUUGGGUUUAAAGGGUGCGUAGGCGGCGCUUCAGGUCAGCGGUGAAAUACCGGGGCUCAACCCCGGGGCUGCCGUUGAAACCGGAGCGCUAGAAUUCCGA
rnacentral:rRNA from 1 species